rnacentral:rRNA from 1 species
AUAUAGAUUAUAUAAUAUACAUAUUAAUAUAUUAAUAUAUAUAUUAAUUAGUUAAUUAUAUUAUUAAUAAAAAAUAUAUUAUUGAUAUAUAUAUAUAUUAUAUAAUAAUAAUAAUAUCAUAUUAAUAUUAACAUAAUUUAUAAGUAAUAAAUAAUGAAUGUAAAAUAAAAUAUUA